CCUACGGGGGGCAGCAGUGGGGAAUAUUGCACAAUGGGGGAAACCCUGAUGCAGCGACGCCGCGUGAGCGAAGAAGUAUUUCGGUAUGUAAAGCUCUAUCAGCAGGGAAGAAAAUGACGGUACCUGAGUAAGAAGCUCCGGCUAAAUACGUGCCAGCAGCCGCGGUAAUACGUAUGGAGCAAGCGUUAUCCGGAUUUACUGGGUGUAAAGGGAGCGCAGGCGGUCUGGCAAGUCUGAUGUGAAAACCCGGGGCUCAACUCCGGGAGUGCAUUUGAAACUGUCCAGCUAGAGUGCAGGAGAGGUAA
rnacentral:rRNA from 1 species